rnacentral:rRNA from 1 species
UACGUAGGGUGCAAGCGUUAAUCGGAAUUACUGGGCGUAAAGCGUGCGCAGGCGGUUUUGUACGACAGGUGUGAAAUCCCCGGGCUUAACCUGGGAACUGCAUUUGUGACUGCAAGGCUGGAGUGCGGCAGAGGGGGAUGGAAUUCCGCGUGUAGCAGUGAAAUGCGUAGAUAUGCGGAGGAACACCGAUGGCGAAGGCAAUCCCCUGGGCCUGCACUGACGCUCAUGCACGAAAGCGUGGGGAGCAAACAGG